ACAGGCAGGCGGCUGGCAGAGGUUAAGGCCUGACUUCUGCUCCCAGUUGACCCAGUCGACCCGGGUUCAAAUCCGCCUGCCGGCUCCUCGGGUGUUUGAGGAGUGAUGAAAUGGGAGGUGGCCCCCCAUCUUAUGGACGGUGUAGGACGUGAUAAUAUCAACUUGCGAGCUGACCAGGAACUAAGUUGAUGCGCCGUUGAUCCGCUAGAUUUGGUUGGAUGCUGGUGGUGAGUUGCCGAACUCAACGAAUACAUUCUGAAGUCGGAUGGGGUGACGGAUUAGGGUGCCCCUCUAGCAGGGGAGAGCAGGGACUGCCCCGGGAAAGGGGGCCGCUGGCGAAGUUAACCACCCUGUAACAACAUACAUACAUGGAUUGGGGUGCCCCUCUCGCAGGGGAGAUCAGGGAGCUGCCUCGGGAAAGGGGGCCGCUGGUGAAGCUAUACCAACCUGUAACAACAUACAUACAUACAUACGUACAU
rnacentral:lncRNA from 1 species